rnacentral:lncRNA from 1 species
GUGGAGAUGACUUAUAAUGAUAGUUGUGUGACAAUGAUUGAUGUUAGUGAUUAAUAAUGUUGGUGGUGAUAAUUGUGAUGGUUGGUAUUGUAGUGACUAUUAAGUCGGUGGUGAUUGAUGGUGGUGGUGGUUGUUAUGAUGUGACAUUGCUUGAUGUUAGUAGUUUAAGGUGUUGAUUAUGUUGGCUGAAAAAUGAAUGCAUGAUGAUUGACGAUGUGUUGGUGCUAGUUAAAGAUGUUAUUUGUUGUGUGGUGGAGAUGAUUGUUAGUAGAGAUAAAUUAUAGUGAUGACACUGGUUGAAGUGGUGGUAGAGGUGGCGUUACUAGUGACAAUGGUGGUGGCGGCCAAAGAAUGUGUAGAGGUUAUGAUGUAUUAGUGGUAAUUAGUGGUGGUGCUAGUUGUGAUAUAUUAGUUGGUUGGUAGGAGAGAUUGGCCGGUAGUAGUUGUUGAUGUGUUGUUGUUGACGGCAGUGGUGGCGAUGAAUAUAAUUAGAAUAAAAGAGGUAGUAGGUGUGGUAGUGGUUGACAAUAGUGGUUGGUAGCGGUAUUUGUUGUCGAUGGUGGUUGUGAUGGUGGAGGUGGGUUGUGGUUGACAAUAGUGAAGUCCUUGAUAAAUUAAGUAGGUAUUUCUUAUAACCGAAGUUAUCAACACAUUUUUCAACUUUCAUCUAUUGUUUCCUCACAUAAUAUCGAAUUUUCAUAGCCAACGAUCUAUCAAAAACAUUUUUUUUACCCCACAAAAAUUGGGUGUAAGGUUUGAGUACACCACACCUUCCUUUCACCUAGAGAUUCAAACACUGGCAAGAACCAAGCAAAAUUCAUGACUAGAAAAUAACAGAAUCACCUGUAAUCAAUUUACUGGCAGUGAUAUCUAGCCAUCAAAUUUGGGGUCAGAGAUUAACAAGUUAAAAUAUUAGGUUUAAGAAUUGUGUUGGCUGAAGGGAUAAGGUGGUGACAUGAAGGACUGUGCCUAUUGGUGGCAACAAAGUUUGCUGGGUCGUCUUCUUGGAAAAUGACAGCGGGGGGAGGGGGUGGGGAGAAGGAUCGACUGGAAGGGAUCUUCCUAGAUAGUGGUGAAGGCUUUUGCCUACAUAUGGAUAUGGGAUUCGGUUGAAGGUUUAUGGCAUGAGAUCUAGUGUCUUAGGGUUAGAGAGCAAAGAAAUUUAGUAUGCAUUUUGGUGUGUGGGUGAGAAUAUUUUUCAAUUGUGAUGAUGGAUUUCUACAGAUAAAAUGGGUCAAAGGUGAGUGAGAGGUCAAUCCUCCAUGGAAAUUUAACUGGUAUAGAAAGGGAAUAAAGCAGCAUUUUGCUGAUGUCACUGAAAUAAGGUAAGACCAUCACCAAGUGUCAAAGUUUGCAAUGGUAAAAAGGAGACCUUCGCAUGCAUUUAGGGCCCAAAUGUAGGUCGAAGGCUAGUGGAAGAAAAAACAAAGUUGCAUGUGAAACAUUUCUUGAGGAAAUUAUUCCUUGAACCAAUAAUUGUGCAUUGAUGAUGACUUUGGUAUAGUUGAUAUCGGGAAUCGUAUUAAUUUGUACCAUAGGCCAUUGCAUUAAUUAGGUGCUUCAGAAAAGUUUCUCGCUGAGGUGCUCUCAACUACCCCACGGACAGCUCCUUUCCUGACAAAUCUCCAGAUUUUAUCACCAAAAUCAGACCAACCAGUAUUUAAAGAAACUUCCAAUCCCAUACAAAGUCUCAUUUUUACUUUUGUUGCAUGGCAAUCCUAAGCUAUUUAAAAUCCUGGAAGAUCAUGAAAGAGUAAGUGCUCUUUCUUCACCCACCCGUUGCUGACGUCUCCUGGCCUGUCUGAGACGGAGCAAUACUUGGCAAAUUCAGAACAUUAUCGAUCUACUCAGAUGUAUCUUACUGACAGAAUUUGGGUUUCAAACCAAAUGUCCUUCAUUGUGGGAUUCUCCGUAAUAUAAAAUGCACUACGUCCAUUGAUAAAAAGCUUUUUCUUUGGAUGAGAAAGGUUUUGAGAUGCAGCUAAUGGCUAAAGACGCAAGGGUUGGUUGAGGUUUGGUGUUCCGUUGAGAGUUAGUGUGGUUUGCAUCAGCGGAUCAGUGAAUCCAGAGGAGGAGGACCAUUUUGCCUAUCAUAUUCCACCAAUCGACAUUCCCUCAACAAUUAUUCUAUUAUUCUACACAAUCCACCUAUAAAUCAAAAAUGUUGACUGAAAAUGAAACAAAGUAUAGAUUAAAAAAGCACAGGAAGAAUGAAAUAGAGAGAAACAAAACAAGAAGGCCAAAAGCGAAUCAGAAGGAAAGAACUUUCAGCAGACAGCAAGAAAGAGACAUCUUAAAGAAAAAGAAAAAAGAAAGAAGCAAAUCAAGAGGAGAUAUAAGGAAGUAGUAAAUGAGUGGCAUUAUAAAUCAAAAAGAAGAUGAAAACAUGAAAAGUAAAUUGGAGUUCAAUCCAAGUACUCAGGUAGUAAAUGUCCUACUCUCUCAUCCUUCUGCACUUUCUUCCAACUUUUAAAUUAGAUGAAAGAACACAACCAUUUUACGCAUGGAUCACGUAGAGCCUAGCUGGAUGAAAAACACGCUUUAUUUGUGGCAUGUCACUUUAAGCCAUACAAAGCAACAAAAUGAUAACUUGCUUAGCAUCGCUCAAUUGCUUUCUCCUUAACAGUAAUAAAAUAUUCCGUGAUUGUAGCGCUUUCAGUCCAGUGGAUACAGCUAUUUACUCUAGCGAACAGAAUUUUCUGAAAAAACAUUUAUUCUGUAGAGUCAAUAUAAAGUUAGUAAGAAGUAGUUCAGAUGAGGUAUAACCAUUUUUUCCGAUAUAAUUUAGCAAAUCUUUUUUGACUAUGCUUAGGACACAAUCUAUACCAUUGUAAGUAAGUAAUACUUUCAAUUCAAUAAAUUAAUCCUACUAGAUAAUAGUGCUAGCAAUUUUCCCUCAUUCCUUGUUGAAAUAAUCCUUAACUUAUGUGUAGUAAAUCUCAAUGCUUUUUCCUUCCCGUCUUUCCAUAAAAUCACUACUGUUUUCCAGACUUAGAAAGGCCUUGAUUUUCAUGCUUCUCAAGCUCUUUUAAUGUUAAAUUUGUCUAAUAAAUUAUCCAUCAAAAGACCCAUUAAUCAAUAACUUUCUAUCCUUGGGCCUAAAUUAGCACAAUUCUGAAACCUUCAAGUUGUUGCAACCUGCCCAACAGAACUAGUAGUUCCUAGCAACACCAUUUUGAGGCACUGGAUCUUCGCAGCAAGAAAAUACGACAGAUAUGAUCAUAUGCAGGCUAAUAGACAUGGGAAACAGAGAGUUAUCUUUUUUAUAAGAAUACAUACCGGCAGGCUGUUGAGAAACGCAAGUGGCAAAGAGACGUGAAAGGUGAACAUCAAAAACUUUUCCAGUACAUAGGGAAGAUGUGCACCAAAUUUAGCUGGCCAACGAGGUUGACAUGAAGUCAAGAGAACUGAAUGCUUUAUUGAAAUUAUAUCACCCACAAAAACAAAGGUCUUAACACAGGGGUUCUCCCUGGAGUUAUCAUCAUCAACAAUGUGUGUGUUCUUCCAAGUUGCGAACAUUCUAGGGAAGAAGGGCUUGAAUAUAUGAUCUCCACCCAUGCUACACCAGUCGACAAAAGUGGAAGAAAGCAUGCUUCCUCCUGCACCAAAACAUCAGUUUUUUACACAUUCAAAUCCAUUUUGUGUGUGGUUGUGUUUGACCUAAUCGCAUUAGCAUAUUACAAACAACAGGAGCAAUAUUUUUAGGCAGCUCAUGGGAAACAUGCACAACUGGCAAAAUAAUAUAAAUGUGUAGCUUCUGGUCUCAAGGGGAGAACACUGAAUUGAGUACCUUGGAACAUCAGCAGCUGCUCCUAUUGCUAUGAAGUCUGCCCCAACCAUCACCACAUUUCUCAAGCUUCAAGACAUCCUUAGCAUAAAAACAAUGGAGUUCACCUCCAUCCCUUUGAUGGCUAACCUCAAGAUUGUCAUCCUCAGCCAUGGCCUGAUCCAAGCAUGGAUUGGUUAUAAAAGCACUUAGUUCAUCAGGACGAGAAGCUCCAUUGCCUUCCAACGAAAGAUAUUUGUCUUCUUCAACCAAAGAAGAGGGAAUACAAUAUCCUUUACCAACACUUCUUUUCAAAGAGUUCUCAAGAAGGCUAUGAUUCUGUGUGUUUUGAUGAGAGUGUUCAAAUAAUGCAGCAAUAAUUUGUGACCACUCCUGAGCAUUAUUAAUACGGAUAUCAUCCAAUGAUAUAAUCUAUAAUGACAUCACCAGGAGACAAAUAGCCAGACAAUGGUGAUGUUGGAGACACAUCCAGUACUUGCUCAAGGUCAUGUGAUGGGAACACGUUAGCCACAAUAAUGCCUAAUUAGGUUUACCAAAUUAGCAAAUAGCAGUACAAGAAUUAAUCCUCAAUUACCAUGGGACCUUCAUCAUGAAUGCAAAAUGGAUACAAGAUAAAGGGUUGAAGGAGCAAGGCCCAGGCACAAACAGCACAAAGCUGUAAGACAAUACACCCAGUUAGCUCAAAGAGUACAAAAUAUGAUAAACAAAAUGGAGAUCGACUAGCAUUAUUUACAACAAAGAGUUGCUAUAAGCACCCACAACUGCAUUAUGCCAAACACCAGCACAAUAUAUUCGAAGAGCAGAAACUUUGGAUAAUGCCUGCAGUAACUCAUGAUUGAAGUCCACUAGAGCGCCUGGAAAUAAUACAGAAAAAAAAAACAGCGAUGUACUCCAUUUGUAUGCCCUCACUGCUUUCCCAGAAUGUAGUGCCUACAGAAGCAGUUGUGAGAUUUAUGUACUGCCACUGCUAUGUCUAAAAACAUGUCAACUGAUCAGGUUUGUACAUACUAGUCAGCCAAUGUACAAUCAAAGUCCAAAGAUCAUGAAGAAUACCCUGAUAUUACAUAACCAGUAGUACCUAAAUGCCUAAUGUUCAAGCACAUGCUCCUUAAAUGCCUGAUAUUUCAUCUCAUAGCCUUAAAAGCUCAUUAUAAACAUUCUAUGCUCACUUUUAAUCAAUUCUCUCUCAAGAAAACCCUAGAACCUCAAAACUUAACCUCCAAGAAAUCAAAUUUCCUCCAUUCUUUUUUCAAGAUAGCUCAAAAUUAAGGAUUUCCAAUUCAAAAGAUUCAAGAAUUCAUCUUUAAAAGAACAAAUAGGGAUUCAAGUUUAAGCUUUCUUAGUAAUUGCAUCAAUUAAGGUAUGUGAGGUCUAUGAACAAGGAUCCUCUUUCAUCCUUGUGCCCAAAACUAGUUUUAAUUACAAAUUUACAUGAUUUUGUAUGAUUAUUCAUGAAUUUUAAAUUAGGGUGCAUACCUUUGAUGCCCCAGAAAAAAAGAAAAAUUUUCGUUAAGAUCUCGGACAAAAAUAUGUUGAAUUCUGUUCUUUAUCAUGAUUAAUAAUUUUUCUGUAUAAAAUUUCUGGAUAUGCGAUCCGUCAUCGCGUAGAGCAUCGAAUAAGCUUUCCAAUGAUAUAUGAAUCAUCCAAAACGUACACUCGAGCGAUGAGUUAUGAUCAUUCCGAUCUAACCGUGAAUAGUGGUGAACAGUAAAUGUGCCGGAAAAAAAAGUACUGAGGCCAGACAAAUUUUAGGGUCAACUUCAAACGAUCAUAACUCCUUGUACAUAAUGAUCUAGGUGAGAUACUGUAUCUUUCUAAUGAAAUUGAUUUCAUCCAAUUUGGCCAUCGAAGAAAAAAGUUAUAGUUGAUCUACUUCAGCCAAUCAAACAGUCAACCAAAGGACAGAUUUAACAUUAUUUGAUUUUUAAGGGUAUUUUGGUCAUUCCCACUCUAAUCCAUCCGAGUAAACCAUGGAUUUAAGUCCAUUAAGAGCAUUCAAUAGCUCAUUUUUCUCCAAAAUUUCCUAAGGCUCAAACCCCAACCCUACUACUCCAAAUUUCAUCCUUCUAUGUCUCUUGAUUGAACCGUAGAAAUUUUAAAUUGAUUUGGGAUUUGAGUUGAUCAUGUUAAGGGCUUCGAGAAGCACCCUUUAUUUUCGUGAAUAAAGUUUCAGAGUCGGAAGUUCAUAUUCAUCUUCCAUUUUUAGGUAUGUGGGGCUUUGAACAAGAUUAUUCUUUCGAUCUUGUGCUCGGUAUUUUUGUCGAAUUACAUUGACAUGAGAUUUUACAUGUUUUAGCAUGAAUUGAAAAUAUAGUUUUAUAUCUUAUAUUAUUGUCCAUGAGCUAUGGGGUUAUGUAAUCCGAUAUGUGUAUGAUGUUGAGAUGGAAUUAUGUCCAAAAAGUAUUUGAUUAUGAGAGUAUGAUGAUUUAAUUUGUUAAGCCUUGAUUUAUACUAUCAUUCCACUAUUUCCUUAUUAUGAAUUUAUAAUUGAUAUUGAAAAAUUAUAUAUCCCUACUAUGGGUUAAUGUCUCAAGUACCUUUAAAUGAGAGUUGGAUGGCAAAUUGAGAAAUGUUGAUAUUGAAGCUGCAAUGAAUCUUGGUAUUUUUUGGAUGGUUUUGAUGAGUUAAAUUGUUGAAAAUAUUAUGUAUUGAGUCUUCAUAUCCUUGUCCAAAUUUUGAGUCGGUUAUGGUUCAAUGUAUUGAUACCUUGUUGAUGUUGAGGGAGAUUAAAAUAUUUUGAGCCACAAUGUGUUGAGUUAGGAAUCCAAAAAUUGAUAUGAUUUGAUUUGAUAAAUGAGAAAGAGAUUUGAUUUGGUCUUUAUGAUAGACCCUUGUGAUGUUGUGGUGGAUUUUCUAAUGCGUUCUGAGCUUGUCGGGGAGUAGUACUUAGCACCGAGAGAGAAAUUUGGUAUUUCCCCAAACCUAUGUGCCACCGUAGGGUUAUUUGAUAAUGAUAUUAUUAGCCAGAGAGCCCGGUUAUAAUUAUUAUAGUUUUAAGGUCGUACUCCCUGGCAAAGAGUAUGACGCUCCCACCAAUGGGGGUUUUAAACGUUGGUAUUCCAUGUAGCUCAUGUGUGGUUGUCGGUUAUAGGAAACUCCCCUGUCCAUAAGAGUCAUGUUUAUUGAAAUACCGAGUCACUCCGAGUUUUGAUGUGGUAAGUCAAGUUGCCUAUGAUGAUCUAUAAUGAUUUAUGAGGUUUUUCUUCUACAUUUCCUAUCUAAGAUAUUAUGAGUUGCAUGAUUCAAUGUCACUCAAGCCAGGUGUGUCAUUGUGGUCCGUAUGUACAUUUUUACGAAAUUUAUGAUAUUAUUUAUAUUUUACAUGCGCCCCCACAUACUCAGUACGUAUCUCAUGCUGACCCACAUGUUUCUCUUGGGCUACAUUCUUACCAAGAUAUAGGUUCAGGUACUCAGCCGUAGCCGCAAUAGUGAUAUCCUAGUGUCGCAUCUACGUUCCCUCAGUGGUGAGUCCUCAUGGUUAGAGGACCAAGUUGCUAGUUUUGGUGCUGUUAUUUUGUGAUCCCUUUGGUAUGUUGAGUCAAUUGGGGGUUUGUUCCAAUGAGUCAUUGAGUUUGCUGUAUAGAGGCUAUGUCAGACUAGUGUAUUGUUGGGUUGGUUUGUGUAUAGAUAUUCCAUAUAUGUACAAUCCAACGAUAUUCUAUGCCAUGUGCGAUGUGAUAUGAUAUGUACUUAUAUAUAUAUCCUUAGCGUAGCGUGUGUGUUGUUGUGUUGGAACCCAAGGAUAGUGUUUUGGCUUAAAGGAUUAGCUUGAGGCUACGUGUAGCCUUGGGCACCAUGUGGCAUCUCGGGAUGAUAUUUCGGGGCGUUACAAUAGCCAAUAUUGCUAAUUGAAGGAUUUUGAGCUUUGAAGAGAGUUAGAUGAUGGAUUUCAUGUUUACUUUCGUAUUUUUAUGCGUUUGACAUUAUUUUCUAGAUUUUGAGUUAAAUUAUCACUACCUUCAUUAUUAAGCAUGAAUAUUAUUAUAUUUUGACAUGAAUUUGACGCAUGGGUAUUAAGACCUAGUUGAAUAUUGCUAUUUCAAGAUUGAAUAUGCUAUGAUCACCCUAUGACUAGAGUAUUUGUAGAUUUUCGAUAAAGAUUUGAUCUUUUGAUCUCAUCUUAGAUAUCGAAUCCACUUUUCAGUUUCAGACUACCUAUAGUUUAACUUAACAAAUAUAUAGUUGGUUUUCGUAAUGAACCAUUAUACUAAUUUUAAGGUAAAUUUCCAAUAGAAUGAGCAUACAGAUUAAAAGGAGUAGUAUUUAGCAUUGAGUUAGGUAUGUUCUCAUGCCCCAGAACUACGAGCCAACAUAGGUUCAGAUUAUGAGAUUAUUCCCAUUUCUAUAUGGAUGAUAGAUAAAGAUGUGAUCACUUAAAUUAGGUUAUACUUCUUAGCA